rnacentral:rRNA from 1 species
GACCUCGGAUCAGGUAGGGAUACCCGCUGAACUUAAGCAUAUCAAUAAGCGGAGGAAAAGAAACCAACAGGGGAUUGCCUCAGUAACGGCGAGUGAAGCGGCAAGAGCUCAAAUUUGAAAGCUGGCUCCUUCGGGGUCCGCAUUGUAAUUUGCAGAGGAUGCUUCGGGAGCGGCCCCCAUCUAAGUGCCCUGGAACGGGGCGGCAUAGAGGGUGAAAAUCCCGUCUG